CAGCAGCCGCGGUAAUACAGAGGGUGCAAGCGUUAAUCGGAAUUACUAAGCGUAAAGCGCGCGUAGGUGGUUCGCCAAGUUGGAUGUGAAAUCCCCGGGCUCAACCUGGGAACUGCAUCCAGAACUGGCGAGCUAGAGUAUGGUAGAGGGUGGUGGAAUUUCCUGUGUAGCGGUGAAAUGCGUAGAUAUAGGAAGGGACAUCAGUGGCGAAGGCGACCACCUGGACUGAUACUGACACUGAGGUGCGAAAGCGUGGGGAGCAAACAGGAUUAGAUACCCCGGUAGUCCCUGUCUCUUAUAC
rnacentral:rRNA from 1 species